rnacentral:rRNA from 1 species
CCUACGGGAGGCAGCAGUGAGGAAUAUUGGUCAAUGGGCGAGAGCCUGAAGCAGCCAAGUCGCGUGGGGGAGUACUGCCCUAUGGGUUGUAAACCUCUUUUGUCGGGGAGCAAAAGCCGGACGUGUCCGGCUGUGAGAGUACCCGCAGAAAAAGCAUCGGCUAACUCCGUCCCAGCAGCCGCGGUAAUACGGGGGAUGCGAGCGUUAUCCGGAUUUAUUGGGGUUAAAGGGUGCGCAGGCGGAUUGUUAAGUCAGCGGUAAAAUCGUGGGGCUCAAACCCAUCCAGCCGUUGAAACUGGGGAUCUAGAGUGUGCGAGAGGUAUGCGGAAUGCGUGGUGUAGCGGUGAAAUGCAUAGAGAUCACGCAGAACACUGAUUGCGAAGGCAGCAUACCGGUGCACAACUGACGCUCAGGCACGAAAGCGUGGGGAUCGAACAGGAUUAGAUACCCGUGUAGUC